UACGAAGGGGGCUAGCGUUGUUCGGAAUCACUGGGCGUAAAGCGCACGUAGGCGGAUUGUUAAGUCAGGGGUGAAAUCCUGGAGCUCAACUCCAGAACUGCCUUUGAUACUGAGAAGCUUGAGUCCGGGAGAGGUGAGUGGAACUGCGAGUGUAGAGGUGAAAUUCGUAGAUAUUCGCAAGAACACCAGUGGCGAAGGCGGCUCACUGGCCCGGUACUGACGCUGAGGUGCGAAAGCGUGGGGAGCAAACAGG
rnacentral:rRNA from 1 species